GAUGAAGAACGCAGCGAAAUGCGAUAAGUAAUGUGAAUUGCAGAAUUCAGUGAAUCAUCGAAUCUUUGAACGCACCUUGCGCCCUUUGGUAUUCCGAUGGGCAUGCCUGUUCGAGUGUCUUGAAUUCAUCGCCGCCUCCGGUUUCGCGACCGGCCAGGCGCGCGGACUUGGGGGCCUGCCGCGGCGACGCGGCUCCCCUCGAAUGCAUCGGUGGGGUCUCCGAGCACCCACGGGCGUUGUAUUGUCCUCGUCCGACCGGGCCUCGCGUCCCCCGCCGCGACCUGCCGUUUGAGCGGCGGUCAAGCGACACUUUGAAAUCUGACCUCGAAUCAGGUAGGACUACCCGCUGAACUUAAGCAUAUCAAUAAGCGGAGGA
rnacentral:misc_RNA from 1 species